rnacentral:lncRNA from 1 species
GAUUUUCUCUGUUCAGUUACUAUAACAACUCCACCAGACUGUUACCAUGCCGGAACGUGGAAUUCAGAGUGAAUCCGUGUCCCCAGGCCAUGGCCACUUGCACUUGACUCCGGAAUAAGCUUCUCUUUGAGAUGAGAGCUGAGCUUUUACAUCAGUAGAAGAGAAUCAAUCUAGUCCAGGCCUUUGUGGAUCCCAAACCAAAUUCUUAGUUAGGCCUAUGCCACUUCCUGCCCAAAUGAAGAGUCUGGAAAGGUGCUCUGUGACCAUUGGCUCUUCUCCCAACUGUCUCUGAGGACUUCAUCAGCCAGGGAGCAGGUGGUGAGAACCCAGUAUGGUGCUGUUAUUACAGCAGAGAAUGCAGAAGGCAGGAGCCCAAGCACACCAGUACUGAAGGCCACUCAGGCAGUACACGGGAUCUUGAAAAUUAGAAGUAAACUCUAGAUGUCUCCAUCGUGACUCGACAAGAGAAACAACAGCCCCCCUCUCAGCUCCACCUUUGCCAAUGCCAGCUAAGGUGCUCACGAACUCCUGGCUUCACAGAGGACAGAGGUCAAAAGCCAUCCUAGGAGGUACAAGAGAAUGACCCAGUCUCCUAGAGGAGAGAGUCUCAACUGGGCCACCUUCUGUUCAGGUGGCAUCUGGUUGGGAAAUACGUAUUAGAAACAUUUUUUUUUCUAAAAUAGCGAAAAAUGUGUCACACAGAGAGAAAUUGACAAGCACAGUUACACCGUGAGAUUCCUACACUUGGGUGCUCUGUAAUGUGUCCUCAAGUUUGCUUAACCAAUAAAAUGCAAAAUGGUA